GAGUUUGAUCGUGGCUCAGAUUGAACGCUGGCGGCAUGCCUUACACAUGCAAGUCGAACGGCAGCACGGGAGCUUGCUCCUGGUGGCGAGUGGCGAACGGGUGAGUAAUGCAUCGGAACGUAUCCUGGAGUGGGGGAUAACGUAGCGAAAGUUACGCUAAUACCGCAUAUUCUGUGAGCAGGAAAGCGGGGGACCUUCGGGCCUCGCGCUCUUGGAGCGGCCGAUGUCGGAUUAGCUAGUUGGUGAGGUAAAGGCUCACCAAGGCGACGAUCCGUAGCAGGUCUGAGAGGAUGAUCUGCCACACUGGAACUGAGACACGGUCCAGACUCCUACGGGAGGCAGCAGUGGGGAAUAUUGGACAAUGGGCGAAAGCCUGAUCCAGCCAUGCCGCGUGUGUGAAGAAGGUCUUCGGAUUGUAAAGCACUUUAAGUUGGGAGGAAGGGCAGUAAGUUAAUACCUUGCUGUUUUGACGUUACCGACAGAAUAAGCACCGGCUAACU
rnacentral:rRNA from 1 species